rnacentral:lncRNA from 1 species
UAAUACUCAGUGUUGUUUGCAAGAAAAAAAAUCUCAAAAAGAAAAACCCCUAUAUUUUCAUAAGUAUUUCGUGUCCCACGUCUCCUUUGGUCACGUGCUUCUGUAUAUAGCUGACGGAUCGAUCUUAUGAACGGUUGCUUCAAAUGCUGACCGUCGUCGGAGAACUCGACCGUGCAACUCUCCACCAAGGCCAAGGUCUCUAGGAUCGAGUACAGGACAGCCCUGUUGUUGU